rnacentral:rRNA from 1 species
GCGUGGGUGAAGAAGGUCUUCGGAUUGUAAAGCCCUUUCGGCGGGGACGAUGAUGACGGUACCCGCAGAAGAAGCCCCGGCUAACUUCGUGCCAGCAGCCGCGGUAAUACGAAGGGGGCUAGCGUUGCUCGGAAUGACUGGGCGUAAAGGGCGCGUAGGCGGAUGCGGCAGUCGGGCGUGAAAUUCCUGGGCUUAACCUGGGGGCUGCGUUCGAGACGCUGUGUCUAGAGUGGGGAAGAGGGUCGUGGAAUUCCCAGUGUAGAGGUGAAAUUCGU